UGGGAGCAUGAGAGAGCAUAUGGUAAAGACGUACCCUCUGUCUCCCUGUUUACAUUUCAGUGUUCUGAAAAAGCAAUUAUUUAUUUAAAAUCCUGAAACAAGAAACUUCUUUUUUAAAAUCUUUGCAUUUGCACUUGAUUACAAACUCCUAUUGAAGAUUUUCUUAUGAAUAGAGCAUCUGCUGGGUAUCCUGUCCAGAUGGAAUCUCCAGUAAAGGACAUACUCAUCUCUAUCAUUCUUGUCAGCAAGUAACCAGAAGGAAGAGAUUUAUAAAGCAGAUGUCAGAAUGUCAAAUCUGACUUCAGCUGAUUUUCUGUGGGCUAGUUCUCCAGCCAAACUUCAGAGGACCUAUGCAAAGCCAGGAAAGACUCUUUGGAGUCCUGCAAGGUUCAAGUCAGGCAGAAGGAUCCACCCUCCCCAUGGGCAACAGAUAUUUUUUCAAGGUAAAGAGACUCUCAGGGAUGACUGCUCCUGGGGAAGGGAAAAAGGGUGUCAAAAGAUGAAGUGAAAAACUUGAACACCCUUGACUGGAGAAAUGGUCUCAACUCUUCACAGCCCAGUCAUAAAUAAAGUGCUGCAAAGGAAUUGUUUUUGUGACAAACUUGCUCGUGGGCAUUUAGAGGACAAAGUGCUUUGUAUAGUGAUUUGUGCCAGACAUCUUGGGACCAUUCAGUGUAGUUUUGGAUCUCUUCCACCAUUUUUAGAUGAAAGGAUGUGAAAAGAAUUGAUCUUUCAAUUUUUCUUAAACAUGGUGGGAUUUACAUUGCUCUGCAUUUGUUCCUUUAGAGUGUUAGUUGAAGAGCAGUAUCAUAGGAUGUUGCUCAGCUCAUUUAUCAAUGUUUAUGCAAAAUAUUUAUGGAGGUGGGUCCUAUGACUGUUUUAAUUUCACAGAUUAAAUGUUUCAGGAACAGAGAUGGAUAACACCAGACAUUCUAAAUAGCAUCAGGUAAAUGGAAAAAAUGGAUGUAUGUGUUUAUUGCCUUUUCCCAUGCCAUUUUCCACAGAGAUUUGUCUAAUAGUUGCUUCUAUUUUGAUGUGGGAGCUAUAACUUCUAAAAGGGUUUUAGAACAAUGAACAUAUGGUUUCUUCAUGGAAAGAGUAGCCAGCUCUUUCUGUGAAGUUUAAUAAAGUGAUCUAAUUAAUUUUGCAUCUAUUAAGAGGUGAAGACUUUAGAAAAUGAAGCCUGAUUAUGGAAAAAACCCUAAUACCAUCUCCUUCCUGGGUAGGUUUUGCUGUGGUGUUUCUGUUCUGGAGUGAAAUGAGUAUUUAACUAAAUUAAAUGAGCUUUUCACUGAAAUGAAAACAACAGGCCUCCUUUUUAAUUCAAGGUAAACACUAUUUGUGAAAUACUUGAUUUCCUUUGAAAUAUCUACUAACCAAAUGUUGAUUUCCCGAAUUUAAGACUAAUAUUUGUUAACAGCAAAAUUAUCAUCAAUCAGGACUAAAUUUCCAAGAGCACAGACAGGCACAUAAUGCCUGAUGAAAUAUGGUGACGUAAAUGAAAAUCAUUUAACUUAAGAGGGACAGAACCAGGAGCAGGAUUAUUUCUGUGACUCUCAAUUCUUAACUAUUUCAUUACUCCAUACACUUUAAGGAAAGAAGGAUCUGCAAUUCCUUUUUCUGUUGUCUAUGCAAGCAGGUAGAGAAAUCCACAUGGGUACCGAGCCAGUUACAAUUGUUGUUGAUGUGUGUUCUCCAGCAAUGUAUUCAGACACAAUUUAUCAAUAGUAAAAAAUGGGGUCUCCACCAUUUUCCAUGACAGUUUGUUUCAAUAUUUACUCAUCUUACCUAAAGCAACCACUGCUUUUUUCACUUUGAUUUGGUAUGGCUUCUUUUUGAGUCUUUGGCUUCAGUUAUGCCUUUGACAUAUGCAUUUUACAGAUAGGCAUGGUACAUGAAGACCUGCCAAGGUGCUAAGAAUUUAGCAUGACCUUGAUAAAAAUCCUUUCCAAAGUCCAUUAUAAUGCUUUUCUGCUACAUCAUGCCAACAACAUCACUCAGUAAGCCAUCUCUGCUUAGGAAAUUGAGCUUCAAGACUAAGUAGGUUUGAGUAGGAACAAAAAGUCCCUCUGCAUGUAAUAAACAAAAAAGUUAUUUCUGUUUGAUGAUUAAUUCAAAAUUGAUCUAUCUUUGCUUAAGAGUAAUAAACAUUCCUGAGACAAAGUCUGAAAAAGAGCAGAACAUGCAAUUGCAAGAAAUUCGAUUGUGAAAUUGUGUUUUUAUCCUGGAUAUGUCUAACAUGCAUAUAAUUUGAUUCAAGCUUAGCACAGGCCAGAAUUAGAACAGCAAAUUGCUUACUUUUAGGAAGAAGUGUAAUCUAGGGCUUUACUGCUUACAUUAUUUGUGUAAUUAGAAAAAGGCUAUGGUUGAAGUCACUAAUUUAAUCUCCAAAAAACUGUGGCUUUUGGUAACCUACUGACAUUGAAAUCACAAAGAUUUUAGGGCACAUUUUAACUAAUCUGUAACUAAACGAAUAAUGGAUUUGUCUUUUUACAGUGUUUUAUUCAUAACACUGUAACU